ACCUCUGGUGUACCAGUUGUCCUGCCAAGGGCAUGGCUGGGUAGCUAUGAGAUCGACGGGGAGGUUUGGCACCUCGAUGUCGGCUCAUCACAUCCUGGGGCUGUAGUAGGUCCCAAGGGUUGGGCUGUUCGCCCAUUAAAGUGGUACGCGAGCUGGGUUCAGAACGUCGUGAGACAGUUCGGUCCCUAUCCGUCGCAGGCGUAGGAAAUUUGAGAAGACCUGUCCUUAGUACGAGAGGACCGGGAUGGACGUAUCUCUGGUGUACCAGUUGUCCUGCCAAGGGCAUGGCUGGGUAGCUAUGUACGGAAUGGAUAAGCGCUGAAAGCAUCUAAGCGCGAAGCCAACUUCAAGAUAAGAUUUCCCACCGCAAGGGUAAGACCCCAGAAAGACUAUCUGGUUGAUAGGUCGAAGGUGUAAGUGCAGCAAUGUAUUUAGCUUAUCGAUACUAAUAGGUCGAGGACUUGACCAAU
rnacentral:rRNA from 1 species